ensembl:lncRNA
AUGUCAACCAAGCACACGAAAGCAUGUAUUCACCUACCCACUUUCUCUCCACCUCACUCACUAACGUGUCCCCCUAAAACAGCAGUUGCCAUGUUGCAGGUGAGAGAGGUCAUGGGGCCAUGGGCAGCUCCAGGGUUGGGGUCAUUCUCUUCAGACUUCGUCAUGUUCUCUCUGCUCUUCCUCCUCCUCUCCAUCAUCCUCGCCCUCUGCACUAACUGUAGAAGGCAUUCCUUUACACUCCGGGAUGGUGGUGAGGAGGUGGACAGAACCCAGUCACAGCUGGUCAGAGUGGUGAAGCUAGAGGAUGCCCUGGCCGCCAGGGAGAAUCCAAUGAUCAAUGACAUCAGAAAAGAUGAGAGUGAUUUCAGUCCCAGACCUGAGGACAGUGUCAUUGGAGUCCCAGAGCAGCCUCCUGCUGAUCAGGAUGUCACCUGGUUGAAACCCUGGAGGAGCCACAGGGAGGCACCUGAUCAAGGUGAUUCUCCAAGUGCCUUGCAGAUUGCCAACAGAACCCCCCUGGCCAUGACGGUUAUAUCUCCUUCGCCUCCCACAACCGUCGACAUUGGUGACCUGAGUGAUGUCCUGAACUUCACACCUGAGCUCCACUUUAUCCCAGCCCCCGUUGCCAUAGUGGAAGUCGACACCCGCCUUGAAUCUUUAUUCCCACCUGUCUAUUCAGAGGACACCCUAGAUGCCACCAUCGUGAGCAGCUUUGAACCUGUUGAUGUCCCCAUAAUGAGCAGCUUUAACCCUGUUGCUGUCCCCAUCCUUGAACCUCUGGUUGUCCCCAUCGUGAGCAAUUUUGAACCUGUGGAAGCCCCCAUCGUGGAUCUCCCCAUCAUGGAUGUCACCAUUGUGAACAGCCUUGAACCUCUGCAAGCCCCAAUCGUGGAUGCACCCAUCGUGAGCAGCCUUGAACCUGUUGAACAUGCGGAUGCCACUGUCAUUAAUGACCUUGAUAUCCUGAAUGCUCCAGUUGGCUUAGAGAACCUGGAUGCCCCAGUCAUCAACAGUCUUGACACACUGGUGCUGGACGCCCUCAUUGUAAACAGCCUUGAACCUGUGGACAUCCCUGUCAUCAAUGACCUUGGAACUCCAGAUCCUCCAAUCGUAAAUAUUCUUUACACCCUGGAGCUGGAUGCUCCCAUCAUAGAUGUCACCAUCGUGGACAGCCUUGCACCUAUGGAAUUCCCCACCAUGAAUGACAUUGACCUCCUGAAGGCCCCUGCGGAGUUCAGCUCCAGCUUUAACCCUCAGCUUGACGUAGAGGUUAAUGUGGAGGGUGAGGGCCAGAACCAGGGGCUUUCUCUCUAUGUCGGACCCCAGCAUACCUAUGAGAUCAUUGGGGAGCCCAAUCCUAAUGAACACUCUGUGGAAGUGGACCUGGCAACAGCAAGCUCUCAAACCAUAGCUGAACUGGUCAAUAAAUCCACCACACAUUCUGACAAUGACACAACCACAGUCACUGAGCCAGCGGACCUGGCAGGCCCCGGCUACGAGACUAUAGCUGAACUGGUCCAGGAUUUGAGUGCAACCACACUGCCUGAUGAUGACCCUAUCACAACCACAGUCACAGAGCCAGGGGAUCUGAUAACCCCUGAGUAUGAAACCAUAGCUGAACUGGUCCAUAAAUUGAGUGCAACCACACUGCCUGACGAUGAGCCAAUAACAACCACAGUCACAGAGCCAGAAGGGCUUGACCUUACAAGCCCUCUCUCAUUGGUAGAGGAGGGUUUCUGUGACAGGGGGUGGAAUCCAAUGUACGCUAGAGUGAGAAGGAAGCUUAGUAAAAGUACCACCCCACCCCCUGUGCUUCCAUCGGAGAAUGAGGAACCGGAGGGAUUUUCACCUCCAUUACCAGAGAGAAGUGGAGAGAUGGAGGGAUGA